ACAGGAUUAGAUACCCUGGUAGUCCACGCCUUAAACGAUGGACACUAAGUGUCGGCGGGUCACCGUCGGUGCCGCAGCUAACGCAGUAAGUGUCCCGCCUGGGGAGUACGCCGCAAGGUUGAAACUCAAAGGAAUUGACGGGGGCCCGCACAAGCGGUGGAGCAUGUGGUUUAAUUCGACGCAACGCGAAGAACCUUACCCAGGCUGGACAUGCAAGUAGUAAGAACCUGAAAGGGGGAUGAGCCAGAAAUGGCAGCUUGCUCAGGUGCUGCACGGCUGUCGUCAGCUCGUGCCGUGAGGUGUUGGGUUAAGUCCCGCAACGAGCGCAACCCCUGCCUUCAGUUGCCAUCGGGUCAUGCCGGGCACUCUGAAGGGACUGCCCAGGAGAACGGGGAGGAAGGUGGGGAUGACGUCAAGUCAGCAUGGCCUUUAUGUCUGGGGCUACACACGUGCUACAAUGACCGGUACAAAGGGCUGCAAACCCGUAAGGGGGAGCCAAUCCCAAAAAACCGGCCUCAGUUCAGAUUGGGGUCUGCAACCCGACCCCAUGAAGGUGGAAUCGCUAGUAAUUGCGGAUCAGCACGCCGUGGUGAAUACGUUCCCGGGCCUUGUACACACCGCCCGUCACACCACGAAAGCCUGUUGUACCUGAAGUCGCCGGAACCAACCCGUAAGGGAGGUAGUGCCCACGUAUACGUAU
rnacentral:rRNA from 1 species